rnacentral:rRNA from 1 species
CAGUCGCCGCGGUAAUUCGUAGGUGGCAAGCGUUGUCCGGAAUUAUUGGGCGUAAAGGGCUCGCAGGCGGUUCCUUGAGUCUGAUGUGAAGGCCCCCGGCUCAACCGGGGAGGGUCAUUGGAAACUGUUUAACUUGAGUGCAGAAGGGGAGAGUGGAAUUCCAUGUGUAGCGGUGAAAUGCGUAGAUAUAUGGAGGAACACCGGUGGCGAAAGCGGCUCUCUGGUCUGUAACUGACGCUGAGGCUCGAAAGCGUGGGGAGCAAACAGGAUUAGAUACCCGAGUAGUCCCUGUCUCUUAUAC